rnacentral:lncRNA from 1 species
UGCCAACCUUAGGGGUUGGGGAUACAUAUUUAUAGCUGGCCAAGGCAGCCAAGCAUAUGCCAAUAUGCUAGUCUAAAGCUAGUGAUGCUUAGUCUAAAAUGCUGUCCUAGAUGCUGUCCUAAAAGCUAGUCUAACAUGCUGUCCUAAAUGCUAUCCUAAAAGCUAAUCUAAGAUGCUAUUCUAGUUGGGGCAGCAAAACCACCAUGCCGAGGACCACAAAGACCAAUGGUACAAAGACUUAUCCCAUCACAGAGCUUCAGUUAGUUGACAUCAUAGAAGGAUUCACUGCAACCACGCUCCUUUUGAUUUUUGCGGUUCAUAAAUAGAAACUCUGACCUGCGAGAUAUUACCAUCACCAAGCUAUUAUGUGAAUUGCAGCGCCACAGAAUUUGCAGGAAACAAUCAAUACCUAAGAGGAACAUCAAUAGAAUCCAUUUUGGUUCCAAUAACACACAUAAGAGCUUUUGGAUCAAUUAGUAUCUUUACUCCUUUAUCUUCCACAAGCUCAUCAAACUCCCCCUAAGUUGAUACCUAGCUAUUAGAAAUUCAGUCCUACAAGCAAGUGAUAACUAAUUGAGUCAAUAUAUAGCAUGAAUUAGCGAAGCAGAAAUGCUUGCAUAUUAGUAGUCUUUCGGUAAACAUCAUGAUGGCUUUAACCGUUUUUGAGCAGUUCACAGUUUUUGCAAAACAGUAUGUUUGGCUUUCCAUCUUUUUAAAAAGGAUGCACUUAAGUUGCUUAUUGUAUUCAAAGACACUAUGUAAAUAUUGUAAAAAAGGAGGCUUUAGAGGGUUAACCAGCUAGGGUUCCAAAAAAAGAGAAACGAACCCCAUUUGUCUGCCUGGUGCUGACCGUUCCAUCAUCCAUAUGAUUUGCCGAAGCCCUUGCCCACCUAUAUGCAGCCACUAGGUGGUA